rnacentral:rRNA from 1 species
UACGUAGGGACCAAGCGUUGUUCGGAUUUACUGGGCGUAAAGCGCGCGUAGGCGGACCUGCAAGUCGGGGGUGAAAGCCCGAGGCUCAACCUCGGAACUGCCUUCGAUACUGCGGGUCUCGAGUCCGGGAGAGGUGAGUGGAAUUCCUAGUGUAGAGGUGAAAUUCGUAGAUAUUAGGAAGAACACCAGUGGCGAAGGCGGCUCACUGGCCCGGUACUGACGCUGAGGCGCGAAAGCGUGGGGAGCAAACAGGG